AAAGAGUUCUAUAACUCCCAAACCCAUGUGAACAUACCUAACGUUGCCUCGGCAGGUCGCACCUACCUUGUAGCACCCUACCCUGUAGGGCCUACCCGGGAGGUGCGGGUAAGCCUGCCGGCGGCCCACCAAACUCUGUUUGAUAUUGAAUUCUGAACCUAUAACUAAAUAAGUUAAAACUUUCAACAACGGAUCUCUUGGUUCUGGCAUCGAUGAAGAACGCAGCGAAAUGCGAUAAGUAAUGUGAAUUGCAGAAUUCAGUGAAUCAUCGAAUCUUUGAACGCAUAUUGCGCCCAUUAGUAUUCUAGUGGGCAGGACCGUUCGAGCGUCAUUUCAACCCUUAAGCCUUCGUUGCUUAGUGUUGGGAGCCUACGGCAACGUAGCUCCUCAAAGUUAGUGGCGGAGUUAGUUCACACUCUAGACGUAGUAAUUUUUUAUCUCGCCUAUUAGUUGGACUAAUCCCCUGCCGUAAAACCCCCAAUUUAUCAAGGUUGACCUCGAAUCGGUUCAGACAAACUCGCUAAAUUGAAGCAUCUUAGUCAGCGAAGGAAAAGAAACCAACAGGGAUUGCCCUAGUAACGGCGAGUGAAGCGGCAACAGCUCAAAUUUGA
rnacentral:rRNA from 1 species